AGAGAAAGGGAUCGCCCAACCCCCUCCAUCCCCCGAUUCCUCUCCCUCUCCCUUGCCUGCCGCCGCCACCACUCACCAGCGCCAUCUCCCACAGCCGCCGUCAGCACGGCGCCCUCCCCCGGGAGGAAGAAGGGUGCAGAGGCAGCAGCCAGCCGCGACUAACCACCGGCGUCCUCCCCCGACAGGAAAGAGGAGGCCGCGACUCAUCACCGGCGCCCUCCCCCGGCAGGAAGAGGAGGGCAGAGGCAGCAGCCAGCCGCGACUCGUCCGUGUCGCGUUUUGGCCCAGAUGUGGCCGCCCCGUGCUCUGCCCGUCGACCUCGAUCCGACCUCGGCAGUAGGAGCUCAAGCCGAUGAGCGCGGCCUCAAUCCGGACUCGGCAGGAGGACAUGCGCCAUCUCAUUCCCCUUCACUUUUGGUCGCACCUCCCCCCAGGGUUGCUAGAGAUGGAGACUUUCAUGACAUCUUGUCACCUCCAAAUAAAUAGAGAGGAAAAGCAGAUGAGAAUAUUGGUUCGAAAAUUCAAAGUAUCAAAGAAUUGGUCUGGCCUUUGGUCAUGGUAAGUGAACUCAGAUUUAUAAGGUCAGCUGAAUGAUAUCAUUGUUGUUUUAAAGUUGAUUACAUCGAAUAGGAUUGAAAGGCUGAAAUGUUGUUGCUUUUUUUUCCUUCUCUGAAGAAAUUAAUUAAGCUGUUGUUUGGCCUGUGAUAUCUUGUGGUUGUUGGAGGGCUCCCAUCUAGCACUAUCUGCUGGUCUACAAAGAGUCAGGAGGCACAUGCUGGGUUCACUUUGAUGGGUGGUACUUUCAUGUCAUUACUGGCUGAUUAUUGUGAUUAUUUCACCAGAAAUCGGGCAUACUUCUGCUAAUGUUGCAGAGGUGGUUUGUUAUUCGGAACAUAGUGCUGUCAAACAUAUCACUAUGACAUUUCAGACGGAAGGAAACCUGAUUAUUGCUUGGGGCUUCAUCUUUGGCAAAUGCUAUCUUAUGGAUGUAUCCGCUUUCACAUUUGUGUUCAGAGUACAAACAGAGGCCACACAAUAGUUGUUGUUGCUGAUUGUUUUUCUUCUACAAAAGAUGUUGUUUAAGGUUAUUGCUCAUCGACCCUCUAAUUAGUCUUGUUGAAUUAACUUCCAGAACAUUUGGUUCAUUUAAUAAAAUGAGGUGUCUUUCUAGCUUGAGUUAUGAUUUGCACAAUUGUCCUAAUACAUCAUGAUUUACCUAUUGAUAAGUGGUUGCACGAUGAUGCCAAAUUUAAUAAUGCCGGAGUUGAGAGAGAUAUGAAAACGACUAUCAGGUCAAAGUAAGCACCACCUGCUACGCAAGCGAUGUACGGCGAUGGCGAGCACCACUGAGUGUGCACGGUGCAGAAGUCUCUAUGGGAAGGGGGGCGGCUGUCGGAUUUUAUUGAAGCAAAAAAUUGGUUUCUGAUGCAUUCAAAAAUCAAUAAUCAUCAGCGGCAACAAAAUUUACAAGACCGGCCAGUGGAUGGUGACUAUCUCCACACUUGAUCUUUCUAUUUGACACUGCAUAACAUAUUAUGGCGUCAUAAGAACAGUCUUAUGUGACGCCCGCAAGAGGGACGUGGUCUACAUUGAGCAGUACUACGAUGGCGCCGAUGAACAUCUGCUCAAGCAGGCGAUGAUGAACGCGAGCGUCGGCUCAGUGGGGGCAGUGGAGGGUUGUCGAAGUAAUAAGAGUAGUCUGUAAUACAUUUUCUAUGCCAUCAUGGCUACCAUAAGAAGGAAGGGCCUCGGCCGAAAUCUCCAUCAGGUUGCGCCCUCGACCAGCAUCUCCAUCAAAUCCCGUCGACGUUGCAACUUCCGACGACACAUCCAGUGUCGUUGCCGAGUUCGCCGGCGGAAGAAGAACAUUCGUCGAGCCGUCCAAUGUCACCUGCGCGGCUGCUACACGAGAGGUGCCAAAGGUGUCCGAUUGAACUCAGUUGGAGGCCAAACAGGUUCGGCUCUCGGACAUGCCACCAAUAAUGCUCGAUGACACCGAUGCGUAGACUGGGAGCAAUUUGAAUGGGCAAUGGAAAACAUGAGUAAAAGAAGCAGCUAAACGAAAGCCGCUCGCCCAGAGUGUCUCGGAGGAGGGUGUCACUGCCGCUGGAUUGGCGAAUGACUACUUCUUGGUGGCGUAUGGAUGUCGCACUGUAUGCAUCUUGAUCUGUAGUUGGAUAGUUCCUGACCUCAUUCCAGGAGGCUGAUUGGAGCCUGCCAACUGCAAUGAAGUCCUCCAUAGAGAAGGGUUUGCAGAAAAUGAUCUUGGCAUCCCAGAUAAGUAGGUCGGGGUCAAAGCCAGUGCCAAGGGGGAUUCCAAUGGAUCACCAACACGAGAAACUAAAAUGGCAGGACCAGAAAAGAUGGUCCCAGAUCUCACUGCAGCCGGAUGUGCAAGAACACACCAAUGAUCAUCUGUGAGACUAACACUGAAUUUUUUUCGAUGGAGCAUUACCGCUGCUAUUUAGCUUCUAGAGUACAAUCACUUGCACGUACAACUAUAACAGCUAGCAGUAUGGUUUAUCCCCUUCUGGUUCUACUAUUUCUCUAGAGUGAUGGCAUAGGAAGAGCAUGUGUAUAUGUUGAGGUUAGUCUUCUGAAACUAAUGCUGCAGAUGUUCAUUGUAGACUCAGCAUGUGUAUUUAUUUUAUUUUUACUUCUUUGUGAUGUUUGUUGGUUUGGCAUGUGGAUAAGAUUUUUUUUUUAGUUUA